AGAGCUGGAAGGUGAACCAAGGAGACGGCAGCGCACUUUGGAACCAUAUGUCAAGUGGCGCCGGGGAGUGAGUACACGGAGAGGAUAAAGAGAUGGUGUUGCACCGGCCCACCCCGGCACACGGACACACACUGAUGGGACGAUUCCUCCAUGCAGCGCUUCACUCUCUGUACCAAUUACAGGGGUAGCUGGGCGUGGUUUCCACCUCUCGGCCUAGAGGGCGACAGAGGGGAUUUCCAGAUCAGAUGGGGACAGCGUGCGGAAAUAGUCUGAUGGCACAGCAUGGACGGAUGAACUGGUGACCACCCUCAGAUGGGAUCAGGGCCGCGGUGCCCGUCAACAUGUUGACUUUCCGACCCGUGACCCUUAAAGCACUGCCUGACUCUCUCAGGGGGUCGAUCCACAGCCAUCUUCUUUUCCAUACAACACCUGCAAAGUUUCGGGACCAUACAAGUCAGUAACAAAAAUCUACAAACCGACACCUGCCAAAGUGCGGGUGAAGUCAAGGUUUGCUUGACAGUUACAAAGCAGGAAAGGCUCCGGAUAGGAAGUGAUCUCGGAGGUCCCACAAAUGAUGGACGGUUCCCAAGAUAGUGAAAGCGUUGUGUCACUCCACCAAUUUUGUUUUGGUGCAGUGCCGGCCGACAGCGUGCGAGAAGCGCCACAACAGGAGGGACUCAAUGGAUCUGAGUGUUUGUGGGAUGAAUUUGCACCUCUCUGGUCGAAGUCCACAGGGAAACUGCAAGAGAAAGAGAGGCCACUUAGGGUUCCUGGCAAGUCAUCCAAGGGGCAAGCGAGUAAAGUACAUCCGAACAUUGUCGAUGAUAAAUGGAAGGAAGAGGAAGAUCAAUUUCCGGAUUUAAGGCUGAGCAGAGAGCCUAAGUACCAGGCACCACAAGUGUAGCCUGGGAUCUGCAGUAUCUUGGGUUUUUUUUAACCGUGACAUCUUAUCUGUAAUAUAAUAGACACAACAUAUGGAUCUGUUUAUCUUGAAUGUGACAUCUAAAUGCUGGGAUUGGUGUAGCUCUAAAAGAUGGAAGCUAAAUUACCACAAGUGCAAAUUCAUGCAUUCAAUUAGGGGAUAACUUUCUUGUGGUUUGCAGGUCCAUCUGACUGACUGUAUAUUUUUUUUCAUUAUACACAUAUGAAAGAUGUUUCAGCCAUACAUACGUAUGUGUGGUUAGAUGGCUUGUCUGAUUCAUUUUUAAAAUAUCAGUUUCCCAGGGUUUUUGUGCAGCUCCAGCAUGUGUUACAAUAUUGUACCUCAUUAUCACUAAAGGGUUAAAGCUAAAAUCUUUCACACUAUUGCAAGGUGUAACUAGGCUACAUACAAAUGAUUUCAUACACUCUAAAAAGCAAGGGGGAGUAAAUAUUGAAGGAUGACAGAAUGACAACGUGCUAUCGAUGAAUGCAGGUUUUUGCACUCCACUGUUUUCUGAAAUAGCCACUGAUGUUUUCUUUGUUUAACAUGUGGAGUCUGAUUAAAACCAUAUGCUUUA